rnacentral:rRNA from 1 species
CCCUUAGAUGUCCUGGGCUGCACGCGCGCUACACUGAUGUGUCCAGUAAGCACCUAACCUCUUCCGAAAGGAACGGGUAACCUUUGCAAAGCACAUCGUGAUGGGGAUAGAUUAUUGCAAUUAUUAGUCUUGAACGAGGAAUUCCUAGUAAGCACAAGUCAUCAGCUUGUGUUGAUUACGUCCCUGCCCUUUGUACACACCGCCCGUCGCUCCUACCGAUUGAUUGAUCCGGUGAAUUACAUAGAAUUUUGCGUUUUACAUGACGGAAGAUGAAGUGUUUUAAACCUUAUCAUUUAGAGGAAGGAGAAGUCGUAACA